GCUGUGGAGAUCUGCUCAAGCGCUCGGCCUACAAAUACUUCGCAGGAACGAUUCAAUACGCUCCACCUGAGUGGUUCUGCAGACAGCGCUACCAUGCGGGUCCAGCUACGGUGUGGUCAGUAGGAGUGACCCUCUUCAACAUCCUGUGCAACCGUUUCCCCUUCGGAGGCUCACUGAGGGUCACGUCCAGGAGCAAACUGACCUUCCCCAUAACUCUGUCAACAGAGGCAGUAGACGCAGAUGGAGAAGAGGAGAACACACACCGAACACACACUGAACAGCAGAUUCCAGCAGAAAACACACUCUGAUGCAGGUGAUGUGGAGGUGCUGUUAAACCGUUCAGCACAAGGAGACUCUUGCUCUAAAAUGAACAACAGGCCAUUAUUAAACUUUUCACAGCAACUGCAACAUCACUGCACCAGGAGCGUCAGUAAAGACCAAGAAGAAGAAGAAGAAACACAGCACUGAGCCUGAAAGCUGAUGUACUGUAGGCUGCAAGCAGAAUCCUUUAUGACCCAGAGAUAAUUUAAUAUAAAA